UACGUAGGGGAGCAAGCGUUGUCCGGAAUCAUUGGGCGUAAAGCGCGCGUAGGCGGCCCGGUAAGUCCGCUGUAAAAGUCCAGGGCUCAACCCUGGAAAGCCGGUGGAUACUGUCGGGCUAGAGUCCGGAAGAGGCGAGUGGAAUUCCUGGUGUAGCGGUGGAAUGCGCAGAUAUCAGGAGGAACACCGAUGGCGAAGGCAGCUCGCUGGGACGGUACUGACGCUGAGGCGCGAAAGCGUGGGGAGCGAACAGG
rnacentral:rRNA from 1 species